GGGUCGGUGCCCGAGUGGUUAAAGGGAGCGGAUUGUAAAUCCGUUGCGUCACGCUACGUUGGUUCGAAUCCAACCCGGCCCA
rnacentral:tRNA from 1 species